AAGGGAGGACCUGCAGAAAGUGCCUGGCAGACUAGAGGCUGACAGCUGACUAAGGACACAAGCGUCAGCUACAGCAGAUUGGAGGAACACAGCAUUCCUAUGGAAUUCCCGAGGAUGCUUGGGCUGGGACUCCUGGGAAAGUCCUGUACCUCCAGGAAAAAUGGGAAAAGGGUUUGGAGCACCAUUAUUGGACUGUUAAAGUGAAGCGUGACCACUAUAUUUGGGAAGUGAAUGAGACAUCUGGGUUUCACAUGGUUUCAAAGAACCUCAUGAACAUGAGGAGACAAUACGAGCAAAGGAAUGAGAAUAAGAAACAGCUCAUUGUUUGGAGGAAACUAAGCACCUUGAUGUUUUUGCAGCAUAAGAUAUGAGGCUGGAAUUGGUGUGAGCUUGGAUUGUAUGGGCAUCAUCUCAAACACUCUUUGGCUACUUUGGCACUUCUUGUUUCUACUCAUGUCAGAACUUCCUAGAGAACUCCAACCAUGGGAGGAACCAACUAUGAGCAGAACCGAUCUCCUAUCUUCUCCAUGUCUGUGCCUGCAGCAACAUGUGUGCUGCUGAAGAAAAAUCAACCACUGGGGCAGAGAGGUAUUAUCUUGUAACUGCAUGAGUAACAAUAUAGGUAUCUUACGCGGUGCCUGUGUGUGAAUUAGAACAAGACAUCCCUUCCUCAAGACACUUGGCUUCUCUGUCAGAAAGCUGUGGUGGUAUCUUGAUUUUGCAAGAACAAGGUAAUUUACUGGCAUCUGCCAGAAACUUGCCAUAACAAAUAUAUAAAUCUAUGAUGUUUAUGAUGUGAACAGUUCCCCUCUGAGGUAUGGCAACCUUGUGCAAUGCCUGCACAGCUGUACACAGUGGCCCUGAUGACUACCCUCAUUCAGGCACUCAUGCCAGUAAAUGUUUCUUUAGUGAAAUAUAUCAUGCCUUUGCCUGUCUUCUUAAACCCAACUCUUUUUUUUCCCCUUUAUUCUCAGGGGAUAUCUAUUCCUGAUACUUCAAGGAAACUGGAGCUACCAUAUGGGAACUCCCUAAUUUUCCUAUUAUCAUAUCCACAAUCUUUCCAUCAUUUACACCCACCCUUUCCCUCUUUCAUCUUCCUACCAAGACCAGUCCCUUUGUGUGGGCUCUGUAUUCCAAUCCUGUCGAUUCUUUCAUGGAAUAUGUCAUGAUUUUAAAUUCCAUAUUCCUCUAUAUGAAAUAGUUACUGCAUGCCUAUCUCCCUAUUAGAUCCACCCCCAGGGCAGGGAUCAGGUCUGUGUGGCUCAGCACUGGAUCCCUAGGGCUGUGUACAGAGUAGGGGCUCAAAAGAUUUGCCGAAUGGGCGAAUGCUAACACCUAGAGGCACCUGCUAACUGAAGUAUUGCUCUUCCUCUUUCAUUACAAUGGAUUGAAUGACAGUAUUAAUGUAAGCUUGUGAAGAGUAAGGCAAGCCAGCUUGUCCAAUUUAUGUAAAAUAGUACCAUGUCAUGAGAUGGCCAGAUAGCCAGGAAAUGCCUUGGGGGAAUGUUACAUGUUGAUAUCUACACGUUUAUACCUAUUACUUACAUAAAUCUAUGAUUUGUUUUUCUUGAAAUUGCUGUCUCUUAUUAAGCUGUGCGCCCUCAAGGUUGCCUAGCAUCAGUGUGGGAGGAAACUGACACAUGUUUGGAGAAUGAGUUACACCAAGUGGAGGAUGAAAACUUCUAAAGCAGAGCACAAAGAAACCGGGGGAUUAUUUUGCAACAAUGAGGAAGGUGCUGUAAGGUGCUGACUUGGAGGAGAGCUGCUGGAUUAAAGUAUCCUGCAGAAGUACAGCGCAAACCUAGCCCAUGACUUCCAACCGAGGUUUAGUGGUGGAAAGACAGGCAGGAAAAAUCUUAGAAGCAGACACACUGCUGGUUUUGAGCAUGCAUGUGUUGCGUGUGUGCUCUUACACACAGACACACGACACACAGAGACACACACAAACACACACACCAUCUCUCCAAAACAUGGCAGUAUCUCUAGCUUUCCUGUAUGAGGGUAGUCAUUAUAAUGCUUGUUUUUUCUUGUUAUCUUCCCUAAACGUAAGCAGAGCCUUAGUAUCCAGCAGUAACUUCAAGCUUAUUUCCUGCUGUCUUCCGGCCAGAAAGCUUGGCUGGUAUGACUGGUCUCGAAACCAGCUCUCUACUAAGUCAAGCUCGGGCUGAAAGGGACACUAGAUUUGGAGUCAGCAGGAAGGUAGGUCUAUGCCCAGUUGUGUCAGGCUCUCUGAUGUGACCACGUGUGAACCAAACUCUGGAAAUCUCUGCUUCCCUCCUUACAAUGCCUCUCUCAUAGCACACAGGCUGUGACUUAAAAAGUGGAAGAUGAAGAAAAUGGAAUGCUCAGAGUGUGAGCAGUUAUUAUUAGAGAUUCUUCCUGCAUCUGGCUUAUGCAAUUUUAACUAUGAUAGAAAUACAUUUAGUUUAGAAUAAAGUGGCAAGUUCUUCCAAAUUAGAUGGAACUUCAUGUCCCCAUGAAGUUCUGGGACGAUAGAAAUCUAGGGAAAUGCCGUACAUGGACUCUACUACUCAUCUGAACACUAAGCCAUCACACAUAUUCUCUCUCUCUGAUGAGUGUAUGUCUUAUCUCCCCAACUAAACUGUAUAACUGUUCCAACAGGGUCACUCAAUAAUUGGUCAGUGAAAUCACAGAAGGAAGAUCAAAGAAUGAAAAGUAAGCCUAGAGUUUCUGCUGACAUAUAGUCAGUUGAUUUAUCUUUGAAGUGAGUGCUUUCUUUGUAAGUGUAACUUUUUGCUCCAGAAUCAAAGCGAAAUGGUAAAAAAAAACCACAAAUAUUGCCACAGAGAAGGGAAACAUCUAGGCACCCAUGCUGAAAUGAAUCUUAAAACAUCUCCUUUUAAAAACCUGAUUCCUUCCUUGAAUCAACAUUCCCAUUAAUUCUGUAGCUUCUGUUCUUCAUAGAAUGGUCAGUCUGUCCCUCUGGGAGACUUUUUCUAGGAGAUUGGUGGGAAGGGUACCAGAAUUCUGACCAGUGUUUCAAGGAAAAACUCUGCCUUUAGAGAGGGAAGGCCAUAUGACGUGAAAAGGACAAGGUAGGGCUUGCUGGUCUGAUUCACAGGAAGACGAUGAGUAACAGCAAUGUUGUCAAGUGCUUUUGAGAAAAAGAAUUAUUCUCUAAAUGACAAGGGAUUCUCAACUAAUGCACAAACAGGUAUAUAAAAAUGCUUGACAGAAUACAUGAAAAAGGAACAUGAUUUCUAAUUGAAGCAGAGGUUGGAAAAAAACAGUAAAGGAUACCAAUUGGAGUCACAAAUCUAACACAAGUUCCUCAUAGGGUGUACUGGGCCCGAUCUAGAGGAAACAUGCACAUCUCAUUAUUAAGUGGAAACGAUGCAGCCAGAUAAGGUUAAUGGAGUACUUACCUCUUCGGCUUAAAUGUUAAACGCUUUCCAGAUCUCUUCACUAGAAAAACUGCAACUCUCAUGUGGACAGAUACACACUUAGAUCUAAAGGGGACACAGCAAGAUCAUCCAUUGGCUCCCACAUCUAAAACAUCCAAACACGUCUACCUCUUACGGCUUUAAAAUCUACAGAAAGGGGGGAUGCUUCUCAGCUCCCUUAGGACUCUCCCUGCACGAAUAAUUUCUUCAGGAUCUUUAUCACCAAGUAGUGCUGCAACCUGGUCUGAUAAUACAGCCUGAAGAGCUUCAGUUUUACUCUGAGCGAGUGGGCCAGCACUGGGUAGACAAAGUGGGCACAGUCAUGGAGAACACAGAGGGUUGGGAGACUAACAGAUAACCACAGUAGAUCCUUAAGCAGAGACGCAGCAUGACAAGACCGCUGUUCAGAGAAGCUAUAAUUUCGGUUCAGUGUGUGUGUGUGUGUGUGUGUGUGAGAGAGAGAGAGAGACAGACAGACAGACAGACAGACAGACAGAUAGACAGACACAUCUGUUAGGAGAUCUUUCAUUAAAGCCCCAGGUGAUGAAAGUCCAAGACUGGGUGGCCACAACGAGAAGCAAGAGGAAGGGAUCAAUGCAAGGAGACUUUUGACGGGAUUCUAAGCAGGAUAUGAUGGCUGACAGGACAAAGGGGAUGACACUUGGGAAUGAGUCAGGUUUUGAGUUUGGGGCCUAGAAGACUCUGGUAGGGCCAGUCAACAAAUGUGGUAAGUUGUAAAAAAAUAAAAAACAAAAGGCCUGUCUGGGGAGGAGACUGGAAGUCGAGAGCCGGCAAUGUCAUGUUGAGUAGUUGGGACACUGUAGUGUGGCCUGUGAGGAGACCUGAGUGUUUCCCCGAAGUUCUCAUAUAUCUUAAGUGAGAAAUCAGGCUUCAACAGAGAGAGAUCUUGCAGUCCACACUGAGAUUGUGGAACUGAAGUCAUGAGAGCUGGUCAGGUUGCUUAAAGAAUGUGAGCAGGGUGAACAGAGGACCUGAUGAAGAUUUUGAGGAAUUGCCCUGUUAGUCAGUUCGAGACAGAAAAGGCACCAGUCAGCGGGAUGAGGGAAGGAGAAAGGAAAUGUACCAGAAGAAGCAGAAGAGUGAAUAGCUGAGAAGUUAAUCAUUUCUCCUCUAUUUCCGAGACUUUGGGUGUAGUUCCCUGCACUGGUUUGAAUCAUGUGUGUGUCCACUUUUCUUCCUGACUGUCUGGAAACCUCUUCAGGGUAGGGACCCUGCAACCCUACUCUGUCCCUUCAGUGUCUAUCUGAUACACCUCCUCAAUAGAGAAGCAGCUACAGAGAAAGCCAAGUGUCAGGGGAACAGGUGGAAAGGUAGUAACACUGCUUAUUUUGUGUGUGCUUGAUUCCCUGGCAACAAGAAAGCAAACAGUGAUGAGCUAUCGCUUCAUAUCUACAAGUCCUGCUCUGGACUUCCUCCCCCCUGAUCCAGUCUCCCCGAUCCUCCCUCCUUUACAAACUCUUCUACCCUGUCCUCUGCUGUUCUAGUCAAGGCAGAAAGAACUCCUUCCCAUCUCCUUACCUCUUAAUGUUUUAAGGGGAGGCACACAAAAACAUCUCAUUACAGAUUCAGGCUGUAUCCUACCCCAAAAGGUAAAGUAGGGUUUUUAAUACUGGCCGUUUCACAGAAUUGUUGAGAAGCCUAGUAAAGUAAUGCAUGCAAAAUUUCUUGGCCCAGGGCCUGGCCCAGGAUGUGUUAACCAUCGCUCCCCUCACAGCUCAUCUUGCAUAUCUAGCACCGAGCACAUAGUCAUGGCUCAAAAAACAAACGAAUAGUUUAAGCUCAGUUAUAUAAAGCCGCCAUCACUCAUCACAAAGGCCUCAUGUUUGGGUGACUGUAAACCACCCAUACACAUUCAAAAACAAGCUCUUCCUAACUACAGAUUUCUCUUUUAUAAAGAAGAUACAUGCUUUUAUUUGCAGUCUGAAACAGAUAUUCAGUGUUUUGACAAAAAUGUUAGAAAACUGGAAUGAAGUAGAAAUAAGGUUAGAAAUAUUUUAAUCCAAUCUGAACCUCCCACCAUACUCUGUAGAUAAAAAUAAAUUAAGAAAGCAGGGCAAGUGAAAAGGAUUUGCUAAAUAUUUGAGAUAAAGCACAGUGUCGUGUUUGGAGGUGACAUGGAGGUAAGUCUCUUUAACGUCUUUGAGAGCCUUUAGCAUAUCUGAAGGAAAGAAAAAUACAUCAGAACAAGUACAAAAUACUACAUUAGAACCAUUACAAAGGAGCAUAUUAACCUAAAAGUGAAUUCCUGGAAGUUCUGGGUUUUAAGCCAGGCUUAGGGAAGGGAGUGGCCAUAAAUUGACAGGAAGGAAGUCAAGGAAGAGACUUCCUCUUUGGAUGAUACAACCAGGAAGGGCAGGGAAGUAGGAUGCUGCACUUGCCACAUGAAGGUUGGUAAAUACAAAAGGGGUUUUGAGGAGAAUCAGAGAGAUGAAACUGACGAGGCAUAACGUAAAAGGUUCUGAAAGAACACAUGGAUACAGGAAACUGGAUUUAAUACAGUUGUCUACUUAAGGCCAUUUUAGAUUCUUGGACGUAAUGCAAGAGUUUCACGAAGAUUUAAGCCACAGUUGGGAAUACUGGUUGAGUUUCAGCUGGAGAUGCUGGUCCCCUCUGCUAUGUGUCCAGUUAACCAGUAUACCUUCAUGGUUUGUCACGCUUUUCUCCUUUCUCACUGUUAAUUGUUAUUUUUCAGGAAACCUGCUGAUAGCAUUGGCUUCUACUUUUGUAACUGCAGAUUUCUUCUGGACUAAAGUGCAGUGUUUCAUGUCUGA